rnacentral:lncRNA from 1 species
GUAGUCCAAACUCUUACUAAAGCUUCGUCUUGUAAAUAUUUUUUUGAUAUUAAUGGAUAGAAGGUUUACCCAAAAAAAAAAAAAUAGAUCACUUUUGGCUCUAGGAGUAGAACCACAACUUAUACACGCAUUGUGUAGUAAAUUAUUGCGUCAUUGGAUUCUCAGUUGACACUUUAUCUUUGUCACUAGGAACUAUCUAACAUGAGCAUUAGAUAAGCGAAUAGUUCUUUAGCUUUACGGUUUUUCUGUCAUGGAGCAUCAGAUUUUCCAGCUACCCAUACCCAUACCGUUGUAAUUUCUUUCUAUAAGUUUCCUUUGUUCUCUAACUUUUAAGUUGUUUCUUUUACUGAAAGUGCAUACUCAAGCUGUGUGACCUUUGUACAAGUUAGCUCUUCAGAUAGGAUAUAACUGAUACUCUCAAGUUUGUCAGACUUUGCAACAAGGGCUAAGAGGAAUUAAAUUGUGUUUCUGU